rnacentral:rRNA from 15 species
GCCCAAAGGUAGCAAAAUUCCUUGAUAGGUAAGUUCCGUCCAGAUGAGAGGUGUAAUGACUU